GGGAUUGUAGUUCAAUUGGUCAGAGCACCGCUCUGUCAAGGCGGAAGCUGCGGGUUCGAGCCCCGUCAGUCCCG
rfam:Gossypium arboreum cultivar AKA8401 contig_696_1, whole genome shotgun sequence.